GAUGAAGAACGUAGCGAAAUGCGAUAAGUAAUGUGAAUUGCAGAAUUCAGUGAAUCAUCGAAUCUUUGAACGCACAUUGCGCCCCUUGGUAUUCCGGGGGGCAUGCCUGUUCGAGCGUCAUUAUCACCCCUCAAGCUCAGCUUGGUGUUGGGGCCUGCCGUCAAGGCAGCCCUUAAAAUCAGUGGCGGCGCCAUCUGGCUCUAAGCGUAGUAAUACUUCUCGCUAUAGUGUGUAGUGAGCGCUUGCCAGAACCCCAAACUUUUAUAUGAUUGACCUCGGAUCAGGUAGGGAUACCCGCUGAACUUAAGCAUAUCAAUAAGCGGAGGA
rnacentral:misc_RNA from 1 species